GUUCCAUUAUCAAGUAAUAUUAGGCAAUGAGGAAAUUGUGUAGAUUAGAUGAAAGUCUCUACUCAAUCAGAAUGUAAAGGACAAUAGAAAAAUUGAUGACUUCUUCCCAAGAUAAAAAGUGUCAGGUCACAAGUCCUCAGGCCCUCUGGUUUUUGUCUAAUCACUACAAAAUUGUGCAAUGCAGUACCAGGGCAGUAGUUAUGUUGCUUAGGCUAAAUAACGUGACACAUAUUUACCAAAACACUUUAAGACUAAAGUAGGGGGAGGGGGCCUGCAGAAUCUGUCCCCUUUAUGCAGAAAU